AUGGACAGAAAAACAAAGAUGUUAAUUUACGCGGCUGCGGCCCAGUGGUAUAUCAACAUGAUAACAUUGGUUGUUCAAUUCAGAAAAAGAAAAAGAAGAGAAGAAAUUAUGUAUGCCCCAAUUGAUGAGAGCGAUAGGAUGAGAAGAGAGUAUUUUGAAAACAAAAUAUGGAAGAAUGACACAAUUUGUGUGAACAUGCUUAGGCUUGGGAGAGAACCUUUAUUUAGGUUUUGUCAACUCUUCAGGGAUCACAACUUGCUAAAGGACACAAUACACUUGAUUGUUGAGCAACAAGUAACGAUGUUCUUGCACACUGUUCAGGGCAACAUUAGAAAUAGGGUAAUUGGCGCCAAUUUUGGUUACGGUGAAGCCAUGAGCCGUUACUUCAAAACGGUACUCCAUGCCAUUGGUGAGCUUCGAGAUGACCAUAUUAGGAAGCCUUCAUUGGAGACCCAAACCAAAAUAGAAGGAAAUUACCGAUGGGAUCCAUACUUUAAGGAAUGA
rnacentral:rRNA from 1 species